rnacentral:rRNA from 1 species
GAAAAGAAACCAACAGGGAUUGCCCUAGUAACGGCGAGUGAAGCGGCAUCAGCUCAAAUUUGAAAUCUGGCUCUUUCAGAGUCCGAGUUGUAAUUUGCAGAGGGCGCUUUGGUGUCGGCAGCGGUCCAAGUUCCUUGGAACAGGACGUCACAGAGGGUGAGAAUCCCGUACGUGGUCGCUGACCUACACCGUGUAAAGCCCCUUCGACGAGUCGAGUUGUUUGGGAAUGCAGCUCUAAAUGGGAGGUAAAUUUCUUCUAAAGCUAAAUACUGGCCAGAGACCGAUAGCGCACAAGUAGAGUGAUCGAAAGAUGAAAAGCACUUUGGAAAGAGAGUCAAACAGCACGUGAAAUUGUUGAAAGGGAAGCGCUUGCAGCCAGACUUGUUUGUAGUUGCUCAUCCGGGCUUUUGCCCGGUGCACUCUUCUGCGAACAGGCCAGCAUCAGUUUGGACGGUUGGAUAAAGGCCUCUGUCACGUACCUUCUCUCGGGAAGGCCUUAUAGGGGAGGCGUCAUGCAACCAGUCUGGACUGAGGUCCGCGCAUCUGCUAGGAUGCUGGCGUAAUGGCUGUAAGCGGCCCGUCUUGAAACACGGACCAAGGAGUCUAACAUCUAUGCGAGUGUUUGGGUGUCAAGCCCGAGCGCGCAAUGAAAGUGAACGGAGGUGGGAUCCCGCAAGGGUGCACCAUCGACCGAUCCUGAAGUCUUCGGAUGGAUUUGAGUAAGAGCAUGGCUGUUGGGACCCGAAAGAUGGUGAACUAUGCUUGAAUAGGGUGAAGCCAGAGGAAACUCUGGUGGAGGCUCGCAGCGGUUCUGACGUGCAAAUCGAUCGUCAAAUUUGGGCAUAGGGGCGAAAGACUAAUCGAACU